AUACGGAGGGUGCAAGCGUUAUUCGGAAUCACUGGGCGUAAAGGGCGCGUAGGCGGGUUGGCAAGUCAGAUGUGAAAUCCUACAGCUUAACUGUAGAACUGCAUUUGAAACUGCUAACCUAGAGUAUGGGAGGGGGAGAUGGAAUUAGUGGUGUAGGGGUAAAAUCCGUAGAUAUCACUAGGAAUGCCGAAAGCGAAGGCGAUCUCCUGGAACAUAACUGACGCUAAGGCGUGAAAGCGUGGGGAGCAAACAGGAUUAGAUACCCUAGUAGUCC
rnacentral:rRNA from 1 species